GGACUACUCGGGUUUCUAAUCCUGUUUGAUCCCCACGCUUUCGUGCCUCAGAGUCAAUAUAUGUGUAGCGAGCUGCCUUCGCAAUUGGUGUUCUAUGUCAUAUCUAAGCAUUUCACCGCUACAUGACAUAUUCCGCUCACCUCCACAAUAUUCAAGACAGAUAGUAUCAACGGCAGUUUCCAAGUUAAGCUCGGAGAUUUCACCACUGACUUACCUGCCCUCCUACGCACCCUUUAAACCCAGUGAAUCCGGAUAACGCUUGCACCCUCCGUAUUACCGCGGCGGCUGGCAC
rnacentral:rRNA from 2 species